UACGAAGGGGGGCUAGCGUUGCUCGGAAUUACUGGGCGUAAAGGGCGCGUAGGCGGAUAUUUAAGUCGGGGGGUGAAAGCCCGGGGCUCAACCUCGGAAUUGCCUUCGAUACUGGAUAUCUUGAGUUCGGGAGAGGUGAGUGGAAUGCCGAGUGUAGAGGUGAAAUUCGUAGAUAUUCGGCGGAACACCAGUGGCGAAGGCGACUCACUGGCCCGAUACUGACGCUGAGGCGCGAAAGCGUGGGGAGCAAACAGG
rnacentral:rRNA from 1 species